AACCAGGAUGUUGGCUUAGAAGCAGCCACUCAUUCAAAGAGUGCGUAAUAGCUCACUGGUCGAGUGAUCCUGCGCCGAAGAUUUCCGGGGUAAAACUUACUACCGAAGCUACGGCAUCAGUAAUGAUGGGUAGGGGAGCUUCCCAUACGGGUUGAAGCAUGACCGUAAGGACAUGUGGACAGUAUGGGAGUGAGAAUGUUGGCAUGAGUAGCGAGAUGUGGGUGAGAAUCCCACAGGCCGUAAACCCAAGGUUGCCAGGGGAAGGUUCGUCCGCCCUGGGUUAGUCGGGACCUAAGCUGAGGCCGAAAGGCGUAGGUGAUGGACAACAGGUUGAUAUUCCUGUACUACCGAUAACCGUUUGAGAGAAGGGAUGACACAGUA
rnacentral:rRNA from 1 species